UACGGGGGGUGCGAGCGUUGUCCGGAAUCACUGGGCGUAAAGGGUGCGUAGGUGGCCAGGUAAGUUCGGUGUGAAAGCUCGGAGCUUAACUCCGAAAUGGCAUUGAAUACUAUCUGGCUAGAGGGUCGGAGGGGAGACUGGAAUUCUCGGUGUAGCAGUGAAAUGCGUAGAUAUCGAGAGGAACACCAGUGGCGAAGGCGAGUCUCUGGACGACUCCUGACACUGAGGCACGAAAGCCAAGGGGAGCAAACAGG
rnacentral:rRNA from 1 species